rnacentral:rRNA from 1 species
UUGACCUCGGAUUAGGUAGGAAUACCCG